AUGGAGUUUUGCUCUUGUUGCCUAGGCUGGAUCUUGGCUCACUGCAACCUCCACCUCCCAGGUUCAAGCGGUUCUCCUGCCUCAGCCUCCUCAGCUGGGAUUACAGCAGACAAGUUCAUCUUCAAGAAAAUUAAGACAUCUCUUCCUCUGACAAAAAACUCCUCCAUGUUUGAUGGGAUAGGACUCAGACCUGGGCUCUUUUGCCACCUCUAGGUUCGGAGGUAUUGGAGAGCAAGGUGAGUUCCUAUGAAGAGUUUUAUGUGAGGGAGAAAAAGAUGGAUAUGUCGGUUACUCUUAGGUAGCCCGGAAGAGCCUGGCAAUGUUAGAUUUUUAUGUUCAUUUUCAUUGUUUUGAUGUCUUAACCUAGUAAUAAAUUGUCAGUUAAUCACGUUUUUGCAAUAAUAAAAGGUGCAUAAAAUGUUAUUGCUGUUUCCUGCCCAGGCCCCCCUCCCCAGCAUGGAGUGUUAUUGAGAUACAUUUCAUUCAGAUAAGUUGGCAGUUUUAUCAGAGCACAGAGGACACCCUGACAAUUAUCCUAUAUGCUGCAGCAGACAAUAUGAAAAGCCUCUAGGUCUAAACUCCCCCUGGCUCCUUAGAGUAUAUUUUGUAAAGGGUGCAGCUUUGGUGGAACUGGAAAGUUUGGUCACCUAGUUAUCUGAUUGUCGGAAAAGUCCAUAUUCUGCUCCAGGACUUAGAGACUAAACUCAGUAAAUGGGGAGAUAAGUGAUUAACAAAUGUGAUAUUCUUACCUGGUGGUAAAAAUAAAAAAAAUCCAAAUGUGAUAAAAUGGGCAUUCAGUGCUAAAUCAAAGCUGCAUGGGUUUUAAAGUCAGGUUUCUGUAAUAAUAUUCUGGAAUUCUUUCCAAUUAUAGUGAGAUGAGAGUGUUCAUGGAAAGCCACCAUCAAUAGACAUUGGAAAAAUAGUCAUUUCCAGUUUCUUCUAUGUGACCCCAGUAUGGCCUUGGUGAUUUGUUUGCUUUCUAAUUCCUUGGUUUAAGUGGAAAGGAGGACCCUUUUUACAGUGUUACUGUGCAGAGUAGUAAUUAUCAACCUUGAUUUUGUAAAAAGCAAGAAUCUUUCCCAGGAUGUUGCAAACUCUCCAGAGGUUUGAAUCUAUCCUAGUAAGCCCCUCCCACUGAGCGCAUGACAUCUGGAGGACCAGUUGUGAAAUUAAACAAUGAUAGGGUGAUGCAACUUCAAAGAGGUUGAACAUUUUUGAUAUAAUAAGGUUAUAAGGCUACAGAGUAUAAGAAUAAGUGACUUGAAUUUAUGAUGAGUUAUAUGACAAUCUCAGCACUUCACUUGGUGGCUGUUUCCAAAGAAGUGGGGGAGGGAGAAAGAAAAGACAGAUGAGGGGUGGAGGGAGAGCUGCCUCAGUUGUGACAGUUCUACCAGACCAUAAAUUAAGCUAAUUAUUAGUAUCAGUUGUUACUUAUUUAACUCAGUAGUGCUGCACUGUAAUUCUACAACUCAACUUGGCAAAGCAUGUUGUAAUGGAUCUAGCUAAUUGAAAGAUUCUAUAUAAAAUUAAAUUUGCUAUUCAUGUUAUUAUGGUUUAGGAGUCACCCUACCAAGUGGGUAUGAUGAUGAAGAUGAGCUGCUAGGAAAGAGGUUGAGAGACAGCUGAUGUUUGUCUUAAGCCAAUCUUAACCCUAGGCACCAGGAGCAGAGGGCCAGUGGGUAAAGGUUAAGUAGGAUGGAAUCUACAAUAAAGCCAAAUGUGUGGCUUCUAUUCCUGAUCUUGUCAUUAUUUUGGGUUUUUGGAGUGGAGAUGAAAUGAAAAUGUUUGCUUUGUAUCUACCUGGUCAGGAUGUAAGUAAGAGGGAAGAACAAGACUCUAGGAGAGAAACAGAGGCUCCCUUAAAAAAACACAUUACAUACAUGUCAGGUGAUGUCACCUAUAAAGUCUUCCAGCCAUAAUAAUUUCACCUGAAAGCUAUUUAUUUUGGAAACAGAAAGCCAUGUCUGUUUCACAUGAGAGUUUCAUAUGUGAAUACUCCCUCAGUUUGCCAAUGUUAGAAUGCUUUCAGGACUACAGGUGAAAUAAGUCUACUCAAACAUUAGCAAAACAUCUGUUUGUCUGCAUAGUGACCCUUACAGCAUCAAAAUUUUUCUUUGACUAUUCCAUGUAAAGAAUUAUAAAAAAUAUAAUAAUUAUUCUAAAAAAAUUUCACAAGAAGAUUUUUAAACAAAUAAAAAUAACGUACGGAAACACAAGAAAGCAACAUCAUGUAAGCAAGUUUCAAACAUUCAAUAAAUAUCUAGUGAGUGGCCAGGUGUGGUGGCUCAUGCCUGUAAUCCCAGCACUUUGGGGGGCUGAGGCGGGCAGAUCACUUGAGGUCAGGAGUUUGAGACCAGCCUGGCCAACAUGGUGAAACCCCAUCUCUACUAAAAAUACAAAAACAUUAGCCGGCAUGGUGGUGCAUGCUGUGGUUCCAGCUACUUGGGAGGCUGAGGCAGGAGAAUCACUUGAACCCGGGAGGUGGAGGUUGCAAUGAGCCGAGAUGGUGCCACUGCACUCCAGCCUGGGCAACAGAGGGAGACUCUGUCAAAAAAAAAAAAAAAAAAAAAGAAGAAUAAGAAGAUAGAUAGGACAUAGCACAUGCAAAGACAGAGAGAAGACAGAGCAGAGGCUUCCUGGGGCCACAGCCAGCAGGUCAGCUUGGCUGGAGCAGGUUGACUUACAGGAAUGUUAGAGGGGAUUAGACCAGG
rnacentral:lncRNA from 1 species